UACGGGGGGAGCAAGCGUUGUUCGGAUUUACUGGGCGUAAAGGGCGCGUAGGCGGCGUGACAAGUCACUUGUGAAAUCUCCGGGCUUAACCCGGAGCGGCCAAGUGAUACUGUCGUGCUAGAGUGCGGAAGGGGCUACUGGAAUUCUCGGUGUAGCGGUGAAAUGCGCAGAUAUCGGGAGGAACACCAGUAGCGAAGGCGACACUCUGGGCCGGUACUGACGCUGAGGAGCGAAAGCGUGGGGAGCAAACAGG
rnacentral:rRNA from 1 species